CCCAGUUUCCCAGCCAAGACGGACUUUCUUCUAGAAUCUAGAUGUUUGUUCUUCACAGUAACACCAGCUGCUACAACAAACAGUCCCAGAUGUGAGUGGUGCAGCACUGACCCUUUCUAGCUUGCUGCUGCAACAUCCAGCUUGGUUGCGUGGCUCCCCUAGAUUACUCAUGAGAAAACAUGGUUUUCUCCGCCAGGGUUGGACCUGAAAGUCUCUCGGGGUUUUGAGAAGGAAAUGCUAUCCUGCUCACCAAGUCUCAGUUAUGCCAACAUUCAAGCCAUCAGCCUUGGGAAGGAGAACCGGCCUGAGAGCUCCGCUGGAACGAGGAUGCUCAGGCUCCUGCAGACUGAAGGAGCACAGAAGCGAUUACAUGUGUGCAAACGCAGGGAGGCCUGUGCUAGUUCUGAUCCCCCCACAGCUGAGGCAGCAAAUGAAGGAAGUCUGUUAACUGUUUGGAGCACCGAGUUCCAGGCGGCCAUGACCGCACUUCAUUCCCCCUGAUCACGCCUCUCUUUUCAGAGCAAAACCAAUGUCCAUUGAC